rnacentral:rRNA from 1 species
AGCCACUGCUAUCGGAGUCCGACUAAGCCAUGCGAGUCUUGGUAGGCUUUGCCUACCGGCGGACGGCUCAGUAACACGUGGACAACCUGCCCUCGGGAGGGGGAUAACCCCGGGAAACUGGGAAUAAACCCCCAUAGGUCAUGGAGGCUGGAAGGCGCCAUGACCGAAAUUCCGAAAGGAGCCCGAGGGUGGGUCUGCGGCCUAUCAGGUCGUAGUGGGGGUAACGGCCCCACUAGCCUACGACGGGUACGGGCCCUGAGAGGGGGAGCCCGGAGAUGGACUCUGAGACACGAGUCCAGGCCCUACGGGGCGCAGCAGGCGCGAAAACUCCGCAAUGCUCGAAAGAGCGACGGGGGGACUCCGAGUGCCUACGCUUUGCGUAGGCUUUUCCCGAGCCUAAAAAGCUCGGGGAAUAAGGGCUGGGUAAGACGGGUGCCAGCCGCCGCGGUAAUACCCGCAGCUCGAGUGGUGGCCGCUUUUAUUGGGCCUAAAGCGUCCGUAGCCGGUCUGGUAAAUGCCUGGGUAAAUCGUCUGGCUUAACCAGACGGCUCCCAGGUAGACUGCCAGACUUGGGACCGGAGGAGGGAGAGGGUACUCCAGGGGUAGGGGUGAAAUCAGCAGAGCAUCACUCUGAUGAUGUGAUUUGCUCUGCAAGUCACAAUCCUGUAAUCCCUGGAGGACCACCGGUGGCGAAGGCGCUCUCCUAGGACGGGUCCGACGGUGAGGGACGAAAGCCAGGGGAGCAAGCCGGAUUAGAUACCCGGGUAGUCCUGGCCGUAAACGAUGUGGACUGGGUAUUGGGAUGGCUACGAGCUGUCCCAGUGUCGUAGGGAAGCCGUUAAGUCCACCGCCUGGGGAGUACGGUCGCAAGGCUGAAACUUAAAGGAAUUGGCGGGGGAGCACCGCAACGGGAGGAGCGUGCGGUUU